ensembl:lncRNA
GGGACAGUGGAGGGAGGCGGCAGCCCAAGUACCGGUGAGGCUGGGCCGUCAGUACUUGCAGAGAGCAGCAGCAGCCGCCUCAGUCUCUAGUGAAUCUUAACCAAGGGCAGGAGAGUCAAAAGGGUGUUUUUAGGCUGGGAGAGAACUCUAUCUGCGGAAAAGAAACCCGCUUGUGGACAACAGGGGCCAAGCCUGGAGUGAGGCCCCUAUGCUGCCUCUUGGACCUUCUUCUGGCAGGGUCAGCCUGUGCCCAUGCGUCCAGUCUCCAGGGCAAGGACCUGUGCUGGGGGCCGAUCUCACUCAAGAAGGGUGGGAAGAGCUGGGGGCUGAUGACUUGUUUGUUCUCAGGGAAGGACCAGCCUCGGUGGGACCAGCAGGGUGCUGAGGGGAGGAGGUCAGCUUCCUCUGAGAAGCGUGUGGGUCAGUUGUGUGACUCCGCCCGACCCUCCUGUUCUUGGUGGCCCAGAGACUGGACUUGGGGCUCUGUGAUUCCUUUUUUUUUUUUUUUUUUAGUAAUUUCUGUUCUAUUUUUUGUUCUCAUUACAAAAUCAGUGCAUGUUUAUUGUGCCUGUAUGCUCAGUUGCUCAGUGGAGUCAGACUCUUUGCGACCCCCUGGACUAUAGCCCACAGGGCUCCUAUGUCCAUGGGAUUCUCCAGGGAAGAACAUUGGAGUGGGUUGCUAUUUCCUCCUCCAGGGGAUCUUCCCAGUCCAGGAAUUGGAACCCACAUCUCCGGCAUUACAGUCAGGGAUCAAGCCUGCACCCCCUGCAGCCAGAGUGCUGAGUCUUUACCAUGGACCACUGGGGAAGUCCUGGGGAUCUUAUGAAAAUGCAGAUUCUGGUUCAGGAGUUCUAAGAUGGGGCCUGGGAUUCUGCAUUUCUAACAGUCUCCCAGAUGAUGCUGGUCUCAAGUUCACCUUUGAGUACCAAGAGGCCAGAAGUGGUCCUCAUAUUUCACUGAGCAUGAAAAUGACCUGAUCAGCUUGUUGAAAAAGCAGAUUCCAAGGAUGACUGAAGAGUGUCGGGGAUGGAGUCCAGGAGUCUGCAUCUUUAACACAUUUUCAGGCUGAUUUCCUCACACUGUUGGUGGUGCAUUUGAAAACAUGGGACACAGCCUGUGCAGCGAUGCCCUUGGCCAGUGACGACACUCAGCAGCCCUUCCCAAGUCUUACUGAGAAUCCCUUGCCUGUCAAGAACUCC